GACGAACGCUGGCGGCGUGCCUAAUACAUGCAAGUAGAACGCUGAAGAGAGGAGCUUGCUCUUCUUGGAUGAGUUGCGAACGGGUGAGUAACGCGUAGGUAACCUGCCUUGUAGCGGGGGAUAACUAUUGGAAACGAUAGCUAAUACCGCAUAACAAUGGAUGACACAUGUCAUUUAUUUGAAAGGGGCAAUUGCUCCACUACAAGAUGGACCUGCGUUGUAUUAGCUAGUAGGUGAGGUAACGGCUCACCUAGGCGACGAUACAUAGCCGACCUGAGAGGGUGAUCGGCCACACUGGGACUGAGACACGGCCCAGACUCCUACGGGAGGCAGCAGUAGGGAAUCUUCGGCAAUGGGGGCAACCCUGACCGAGCAACGCCGCGUGAGUGAAGGAGGUUUUCGGAUCGUAAAGCUCUGUUGUAAGUCAAGAACGAGUGUGAGAGUGGAAAGUUCACACUGUGACGGUAGCUUACCAGAAAGGGACGGCUAACUACGUGCCAGCAGCCGCGGUAAUACGUAGGUCCCGAGCGUUGUCCGGAUUUAUUGGGCGUAAAGCGAGCGCAGCGGUUUGAUAAGUCUGAAUUAAAGGCUGUGGCUCAACCAUAGUUCGCUUUGGAAACUGUCAAACUUGAGUGCAGAAGGGGAGAGUGGAAUUCCAUGUGUAGCGGUGAAAUGCGUAGAUAUAUGGAGGAACACCGGUGGCGAAAGCGGCUCUCUGGUCUGUAACUGACGCUGAGGCUCGAAAGCGUGGGGAGCGAACAGGAUUAGAUACCCUGGUAGUCCACGCCGUAAACGAUGAGUGCUAGGUGUUGGAUCCUUUCCGGGAUUCAGUGCCGCAGCUAACGCAUUAAGCACUCCGCCUGGGGAGUACGACCGCAAGGUUGAAACUCAAAGGAAUUGACGGGGGCCCGCACAAGCGGUGGAGCAUGUGGUUUAAUUCGAAGCAACGCGAAGAACCUUACCAGGUCUUGACAUCCCGAUGCUAUUUCUAGAGAUAGAAAGUUACUUCGGUACAUCGGUGACAGGUGGUGCAUGGUUGUCGUCAGCUCGUGUCGUGAGAUGUUGGGUUAAGUCCCGCAACGAGCGCAACCCCUAUUGUUAGUUGCCAUCAUUCAGUUGGGCACUCUAGCGAGACUGCCGGUAAUAAACCGGAGGAAGGUGGGGAUGACGUCAAACCAUCAUGCCCCUUAUGACCUGGGCUACACACGUGCUACAAUGGUUGGUACAACGAGUUGCGAGUCGGUGACGGCAAGCUAAUCUCUUAAAGCCAAUCUCAGUUCGGAUUGUAGGCUGCAACUCGCCUACAUGAAGUCGGAAUCGCUAGUAAUCGCGGAUCAGCACGCCGCGGUGAAUACGUUCCCGGGCCU
rnacentral:rRNA from 1 species